rnacentral:rRNA from 1 species
UACGUAGGGGGCAAGCGUUGUCCGGAAUCAUUGGGCGUAAAGAGCGUGUAGGCGGUUCGAUAAGUCGGCUGUGAAAGUCCAGGGCUCAACCCUGGGAUGCCGGUCGAAACUGUCGGACUAGAGUUCGGAAGAGGCGAGUGGAAUUCCCGGUGUAGCGGUGAAAUGCGCAGAUAUCGGGAGGAACACCAAUGGCGAAGGCAGCUCGCUGGGACGUUACUGACGCUGAGACGCGAAAGCGUGGGGAGCGAACAGG